rnacentral:lncRNA from 1 species
AAUUCCCUGAAUCUGUUUGACAACAACGCUUCCCCCCUGCUGCCUCUGGAAACGCCUGCGCACCGACGAGAGCUGCCUCCUCCCCUGUGGUCAGCGCCAGAGGAUCAGCAGGGCCUGGCCGCGAGCAUAAAUCUCAGCCAGCGGGAUCUCAAGGGGCACAGACGGAUUCUGAUCAGCUCCAAAAUUUCCUCCAAUGGGUGGAAUGAGGAUGCCCGCCCUCGGCUCCCAGCCUGCCAGGGCUGCAGGGCCGCCUGGGCUUUGCGAGCGCGAGUGGAACGUGUAACCGGCUGGGCCACGGCCGGCGCUCGCCCUCGGACGGAGCGAUGCGAUCACCGAGGACCGGACCCCGCGCAGCCGCCGCCCCUCCCCGCGCGGGUCCCGCAGUGCAUCACCGCCUCCCUCCACUUCCAAUUCCAAGCGCCACGGAAGGCGCCAUCCAGCGGGGCCAGGACAGCGGCUCGGCGCGGCUCGAGAGGCGCGGCCGGGCGGCGCCGGGGGGCGGGGGGAGGCGGUCGCCGCUGCGCCCCCGCCCGGCCCCGCCGGCGCCGCCUCCCCCGCCAGGCGACAGCAGCCCGAGGGGGACGCGGAGGCGCCUCCCGCCGCCCGCAGCCCAGGCGGCCGCCGCGGGGCACGAGGGCGCCUCCCCCCGCCCCCGAUGAGGGGCGCGCCCGGCCAUGGCCGCGCCGGCGAGCGACAGCGGCGGCCACCGGAGCCCGACCGGCAGGCGCGGGGGCGCGGCAGGCGCCGGGGAGGCCGCGGCCGCGGGGGUCCUCCCGCCGCUCGAGGACUACGAGUGCAAGAUCUGCUACAACUACUUCGACGCGGACCGGCGCGCGCCCAAGCUGCUGGCCUGCCUGCACACCUUCUGCCAGGAGUGCCUGCGCCAGCUGCAGCUCCGCGCCGCCCCCGCGCCCCCCGCGGCCCCCGCGCCCCCCGCCGCCGCCGCCGCCGCCGCCGCCGCCGCCGCGCCUGAGCGCCCCCCGCGCCCGCCGCCCUGGCUCGGCCCGCCCGGCGCCAUCGCCUGCCCCGUGUGCCGCCACCGCACCCCGCUGCCCGACAGCCGCGUGCACGGCCUGCCCGUCAACACCAAGCUCGCCGACGCCUUCCCGCUGGCCCUGCGCGCCGCGCACGACCCGCUGCCCCAGGACCGCCUCCCGCCCGCCGCCCCGGCCUCGGCCCCGGCCCCCGCCCCCGCCCCCGCCCCGCCCGCGGAGGACGCCGCCCGCCCGCCCCGCGCCCGCCUGCGCGCCCCGGGCGCCUACGACAGCUGCCAGGACUGCAAGCGCGCCGCGCUCACCGCCGGCUGCGUGUGCGUCGUCUUCUCCUUCCUCUCCAUGGUGGUGCUGCUCUUCACCGGCCUCAUCUUCGUCAACCACUACGGGGGCGGGGGCGGCGGGGGCGGCCCUCCCGGAGGCGCGGCGCCCCCUGGAGCUGCCCCGGGGCCCGGGUCGCCGUCGCCGUCGCCGUCGCCCGUGGGGCCCAUCUGCCUGUCGGUGGCCAGCAUCCUGGCGCUCUUCUCGGUCGUCGUCACCUGGGUCAUCUGCUGGCUCAAGUACCGGCCCGAGGGCGCGGCCGCGGGCUCGGCGGGGGGCGGCGGGGGCGGCCCGAGGGCGCGGGCGGCGGCGGGCGGCGCAAGGAGGAGCGACACGUAGCGGGGCCGCCGCAGGGGAGGGGACGGGAGGGGAGGGGAGGGGAGGGGCGCUCCUCCCGCCGCCGCCGCCGUCGCCACCGCCUGGUCCCCCGCCUCGCCCUCCGCGUGCGCCCCGUGCGCCCCUCCGCCGCCGCCGCCGCGCGGGCCCGGGUAGGGGCGGGGGGCGGGGGGCGGGGAGCGGGGGGGGGGGGCGGGCACGCGCCUUGCCCCGGCCCGUGCAGCCUCCGCGGGGGACUCGGGGAGCUCCUGCCGGGAACUCAUUUCAUCUGCAACUGGACUCGGGGAGUCUCCGGAGCCGGCUCUCGUCUCUCAAAACUGACUUACUGUUGCCCCCACCUGGAAGAUCUCGAAAGCUGUUCACGCAGGAUCUAAGCUGUAGGCUCCUCCGCCUUUUUCCUUUUUUUAGUUCCUUUUUUUUUUUUUUUAAAUAA